GGUGAACUCAACAGAAGAACCUCCCAGCUAAGCCCAACCCAAACUGCCAGCCUCCAGGAUGGGCGACCUGCAGAAUACUCAUGGAGGAGGUCUGCUUUGAGUGGUGGCUUGGAGAGAUGAAGAAAAUAAUAGAGCAAACAUUGACAUGGAACCUACUAUGUGCAGAUUCAUCGCUAUACUGACCUCUCAUUGACUAAAACUUUACAUCAAGGCUCAGGGACUGUAAACCCACGGCAGCUUGGAAUAUGGAAUGUGGAUGUUGAGAUACACACUUCAGUUCCUGAACUCAGUAAUGAAAUCGCCCUCAGAGUUCUCAUGUCAGCAUUCAGCUAGCUGCAACUUUCUCCUGCGUGCCUUCUAAGGAGAUUAA